rnacentral:piRNA from 1 species
AAGUGGAAGGGGAANCCCUGGGUCCUGCUAA